rfam:Candidatus Kaiserbacteria bacterium RIFCSPHIGHO2_01_FTLL_46_22 rifcsphigho2_01_scaffold_10959, whole genome shotgun sequence.
GCCAUCUUAGCUCAGUUGGUAGAGCGCAUCCAUGGUAAGGAUGAGGUCCCCAGUUCAAUCCUGGGAGAUGGCU